UACAGAGGUCUCAACCGUUGUUCGGAUUCAUUGGGCGUAAAGGGUGCGUAGGCGGUCGCGUAAGUCAGGUGUGAAAUCUCAGGGCUCAACCCCUGAAAUUGCACUUGAUACUGCGUGGCUCGGGUACUGGAGAGGAGACUGGAAUUUACGGUGUAGCAGUGAAAUGCGUAGAUAUCGUAAGGAAGACCAGUGGCGAAGGCGAGUCUCUGGACAGUUACCGACGCUGAGGCACGAAGGUCAGGGGAGCAAACGGG
rnacentral:rRNA from 1 species